GGGACACGUGGUAUCCUGUCUGAAUAUGGGGGGACCAUCCUCCAAGGCUAAAUACUCCUGACUGACCGAUAGUGAACCAGUACCGUGAGGGAAAGGCGAAAAGAACCCCGGCGAGGGGAGUGAAAAAGAACCUGAAACCGUGUACGUACAAGCAGUGGGAGCCUCUUUAUGGGGUGACUGCGUACCUUUUGUAUAAUGGGUCAGCGACUUAUAUUCUGUAGCAAGGUUAACCGAAUAGGGGAGCCGAAGGGAAACCGAGUCUUAACUGGGCGUUAAGUUGCAGGGUAUAGACCCGAAACCCGGUGAUCUAGCCAUGGGCAGGUUGAAGGUUGGGUAACACUAACUGGAGGACCGAACCGACUAAUGUUGAAAAAUUAGCGGAUGACUUGUGGCUGGGGGUGAAAGGCCAAUCAAACCGGGAGAUAGCUGGUUCUCCCCGAAAGCUAUUUAGGUAGCGCCUCGUGAAUUCAUCUCCGGGGGUAGAGCACUGUUUCGGCAAGGGGGUCAUCCCGACUUACCAACCC
rnacentral:rRNA from 1 species